rnacentral:lncRNA from 1 species
UGAUUCCCCGUGAUGAGCAUUUAAUUUAUCUCUUCGUGGUUAGGGUUCUCAAUGGUUGGCUUCGGUUUGGAUCCUAGAAUGAAAAUUUGUUGAAACGGAUAUGAAUUUUGGAUUGAGGAGGAAAAGACAAUGGAGAUGGUGGUUGAGUUUUGCAGUUUGGCUCUCCUCUACCUCCGGAGGCGACCUCCGGCGCGACAGAGGAUGAUGGAUUUCAGGUGAGA